rnacentral:lncRNA from 1 species
ACAAAUCCCACUUCCAGUUUUGACCCAAGAGGAAGUAUUUGCAAUGUGUCAAAAAAUUCAUCCAGUAAAAAGCUAUUUGUAUGCAUCAACGUCGCAGUUUAUAAAAUCCUCCAAAAUCCUCUAUGAAAUGGUAACUUACAACAUACAUUAACAAAAUAUAUCACACAUCAAGGUUAGGAACCAGUACAAUCCAUUUUACAUCAACACAUAUAAACUAUUGAGACUUAUUCAUGUUCUUGUCCUCUGCGGCAACUAUGAUGUCGUGGUUGAUUGUGAUAGGCAACACCAAGUAGCUCGCUACCUAGCAUAUUUACAAGAAUAUUAGAUACUUGCAGAUAUGAAUAGAUGGUACAAAAAAGAGAAUUACAGCAAAGAUAAAAAAGAAUUACAUGUCCAAAAUUCUUAAAUCUUUAUAGUAACAAUUUGUUGCUGACUUGACCAUCAUAGUACUAUUAUUUAUAACAGGAAACAAUAAUGAAAUGAAGCAGUAUAUACGAGAACAAGAUGACAGCUUGCAUGAGAACUACAAAUUUAGUCUAUACACAUGGCUUAAAAUUACUUCAUAGUUAUCAAGGUACAAGCCAAAUCAGAACACAGGAACAAAAGGGUGAUGACCACUCUAGUAGUGUGUCGAUGCAAUGCAAGGUUAUUAAGGUACAAGCUGAACUCUGAAGUUUCUUUCUUCAUUGGUUCAUCGUGUACAGAUUGCAUUUUAGAUAUGUUCAGACUAGGAGAACCAAAAAUGUAUCACCAUGAAACGGAAGGCACUACUUAAAUAUAAAUACUAGAACAUACCCUCCAACAAUUUCAUAUUUAAUAUCUUCAUUGCAAAUCAGAAUCAUGACUAUGUUUCUUGUGAUCUUAAUUAGUGUAUGCCAGCUUGAACGCGCAUAUACACAAUAGUAAAAAGUCACCUUAGUUUAUGCAAGCUAUAAUACUUCAUGCACUCUGUUAAUUAAGUAUGACAUGGGAUCUCAGGGGACUUACAUGUACGCCAUGGAGUAGCAAUCACUAAGCUAUUUUGACGGAAUUGCAUAAGGCCGUAUUUUUUAUCAAACACCUCAGCAAACAUGUGAAAGGAACACCUACAGUAGGAAUGUUUCAGCAUCUACACCUAUGGGGCAGCAUGCCGUGUAACAAGAUAUCACAGAAAGAGAGUCAUAGUGAAAUCCAGGACAUAAGCAUCAAUAUUACAUCACUUAGAAUUUUCUUGGAACCGUUCUGAAAAAGGAGCCUCCGUUUCUGCGUAUACGCUUGCAAAAACAAUAUAUACCAAUGACCUCCACUAAACAAUGGCUUUAAAAAACCAAGUUAACCACCAUGAGAACAAAUCUAGAUAAUAACAAAGAUAUAUCAGCUGGGUAAAAUAUGGAUGCUCAAGGCACGUGUAGAUACAAACUAUGGCUAAACUAUUUUAAGAGGUCUUAAGAGGGCAAAUAUUCAAGCAAUAUACGUAUCUAACUCUGCACUAGUUUCCAUUAUAAACAAAUAAAAAAUAGUAAAGGACGGGAAAAUGUUUAUUUUUACAUCUUGUCACACGGAGGCACUUACUACGUCAUAUCCUGAAAUUGGUGACAUGUACUGGAAAUAAGGAAUUCAUCAAAUUGUGAUAUAUAUUAAAUUGAGCAAAGAUCAGGAGCCUACUUGUAUGCAUCAAUUAUAUUAGCCGAUGAAGUACAAGGAUGUCAGCUACUUCUAGGUACGCAUAUAAAAAAUAGCAUCAUCAAUUUUAUAAGCAGCUUGGCAUUAACCUAGUAACAAUCAAGCGUGAGUUGUACCAGAUUUUGAUGUUUCCAAUAACUGAGAAUACAUAGUCGUCAGCUAUUUUGGCUUCCCCUUUUCCUUCAAGUAGUGUUUUCCUUCCAAAGGGACUUGUCUUUUAGAACAAAACUUAAAAAUACAACACGUAUUUUGCUGACAACAAAUGGGAUCAAACCAAGCAUUCCAUGGCAACAAGCACCACCAUCAUGUGUCAUAAAUUUCAUCAACUUAAUUGUGUGGAAAUCAAUAUGAUGGCUAUUUUCACCACAUAACAAAUAGAAAGUUUGCACAUAUUAUAUAACAGAGAAGCAGUGUAAUAGCAAGCCUAAUUAACAAACAAUCUACUCUUGGUCAAUCGAUUCAGUGAGAUGAAUGAAUUACUUUCCCUCCAUAAACAAGAAAAUCGAAGGAACCAACAGGGGCAUCUCAUUGAGAAUUACUUAUUAAACUAGUAGUUUCUUAACUAAGUGGCAGAUCUCACAAAUUUUACACUACUAGUGCUCACACGGUGAGAGAAGAAAAACAAAAUAUCCAGCGAUGCUAGCCUAUCGAUGGCUGUAACUUGUGAGUAUCAGGAAACAAAGUGACCACAUUUUUUGCAUCAGGUUCAGACAAAGAAAAUUUGAGAGCCCUGGAGAACUAUCCUAGAGCAGAGCAGCAAGCAUUUGGAAAGAAAAGAAACUAGAGCGAGAGGGUCGACCUUCUUGUUUUGUGGGGAAUCAUGGUGGACGGGGUAGAUGACCUCGCUGUCGAGCUCGUCCAACUUGUGGGGCUCGAGUGUUGGCUCCCGGUCGUAGCCGUUCAUGGAUCUGGAGAGGGGAAGAGCUCCUGUUGAUCUGAAUCAAAGCAAAAAAAAUUUAUUGGAAUGGGAGAGAGAAGUAAGGAAUGAAGGAGAG